GAGAGAGCUGGAGCGGCAAGGUGACUUGAAGAAACGGAGAAACUGGGCAACAGCGCGUCUCCUCUCCCCGCCUGAUGUUUGUCAUUUGUCAUCCUGAGAGGAACUGACCUCACUCAGUGUGUGCGCGUGUGUGUGUGUGUGUGCGUGCGUGUGUGUGUGUGUGGGUGUGUGUGUGUGUGUGUGUGUGUGUGUGGCACUGUCACACUGUGAGGGAGCUUUGCUUGACUCCGUUCGUUAUAAACGACACAGUCCUGGGAGGCAGCUGCAUUGACGUCAAGGCUCUCGGCUCCGUCAAGGGCUCAAGCUGCUGAAAUCCCCCCAAAUAGUCGGAUCUAAAUAGAGAGAAAUGGACUGCUGCUGUUUUAUCGCUGCCUGGUGAACUCCAGUGGAUUGGAGGGGUGGAUUAGCCUCCUCUUUUUCAGUCCUGCGACAGACUGCCAACCUGUCCAGGGUGAACCCCGCCUCUCGCCCGGAACGUAGCUGGAGAUUGGCACCAGCAACCCUCCCGACCCCAAUAGGGACAAGGGUGAACAGAAAAUGGAUGGAUGGAUGGAUGGAUGGACGGACGGAUGGAUGGACGGACGUGUUUUUGAAGCAGAUCUCCUGCUUUAACUGACCUAAGCUCCCCUAAAUAAAUGAAAACUGACAGAUUACGGUUGCACAUAUUCAGGUUUAUUCAGCUCCCCCAAGGAAAAGCCAAAGAAGUUUACAGGCAGUAUCACAUGUUUGCCAGCCACACAGUGCCGUUUUAUAGUACAUAUCUAUUGCUAUAUACUGUAUAACCACUUUACCUGCAGUUGUUAUAAAAAUGCUGUACAUACCAAAUAUGACUUUGCAAUUUAACGGCUAUAAAUUGGGCCUUUAAGAAACUCUUGCUCUUUUUGAUGCUCCUUCUUCAGGAAGUCAUCACAUUACUCCUAUAUUAGCCCAUAAAAUAUGUUUUCACAAGCGUUGCACUGAGAAGUGGCUUGUAUAAACAAUUCAGCAGCAUAAGCUAAUUAUUUGGUGUUUGCUAAUUGCUUUUGGCUAGUCUGCAGGAGCUGAAUGGUUGGAGUCGCAGGGCUGGGGUGCUUUGUGAGGCAGAAGCUCGGAAGAUUGGAAACUGCAGCUCUGAGGAGGAGCUUCAUCCUCAAAGGCGGUGCUCCGUCCCCCAACUGGUUUGCUCAGCUGAAUGGUUGCCACGGGAGAUUAAAGGAUUUCUCAAACAUGCAUGAAAGAAUCAACGCAAAACUCCAGUUAGGUUUCUGAUAAAGGAAUAAAAGUUAGCCUAAAGCUAAAAAACGUCAAUUUUACAUCACACUACCCCUUUAAAGGGUAGGCCGACAUGCUUUUUUUGUUUUGUGUACUGCUUUCAAAAGAAAAAAAAAGAAAGAGUAAUAAUCCGAAGCAGCUAAAAACAGGGAUUCUGCAGGUUUCCCCAACUCAAAUUUAAUACCCAAGACGUUUUGUAAGAACAUUAUGGAUGGAGUUUAAGAUCAUUAUCUGUUCUGAAUGUUCUGAAACAUCCUUCCAUUUCACAACUACGAACUACUUUACUGAACCUUGACAUGUAAUUUCCAAUAAAACAUUCAUAUUUAGUCAUAACGUAAUAAAAUGACAAAUCUCUGCAGAUGGGUUGCUUCGCUUUCACUUCCCGCUGAGUCGCUUUGUGGAUGGAGGUAUAUGUGUAGCGAAACUGCACAUCUGCUGAGGCCAACUUAAAAAUAAGCCUUGUUUGUUUAUUUGCACCAAGCUGGCAAGGGAAUUAGAAACCAAAGGGUACACAGCUUGUUUGUUACUUUAUUUGGAUCAAGAUACAGUAGUACAGCUUCCCAACUGUGAAGAGAAUUCAAAGUAAAAAUCAGAGCACAGUCUUUGUGAUACAGGACAAUCGACAAUUCAGGUUUAUUCCAGAGAAGAGGAUGAGAGGGGAGGGGGCGAUGAACAGGAGGAGCAGUUCAGAGAAAGACAAAAGUUCCUUUUAUUAACACAGUCCGACGUUUAUUCAACCCGCCCUCUAACCCAUCCACCCCAUAAUAAAACAUUAUGCAGCUUUACGUACAUAAGCAGCCCCUACAAGCUGUAAGCAUGCACUCGUUCUCCAUCUCGUCGAGGUUCCUAAGCAAUAAGUCCUCUGACCUACUGCUUUCUGACCUCAUGUUGAGGGGAGGACCUGGCUUGGCUUUAAAAGAAAAACCGAUCGGCGUUAAAACAUCCGUGGUUUUCUGUUUGCCAUGAUGGCUGUCAACAAUUCACUUUUACCGCGCAACAAAAUACUGAAAAGAAUGGCGUCUUUUUUUCUUUCUUUCUUCCCAGAGGAAGGCGGUUUAUCCAGGCAUAAAAAAAAAUUGC